rnacentral:lncRNA from 1 species
UCUAAAGUCACAAAAUCUGGAAUUUGACUUGAUAUUUACUAGUCAGAAGUAAUUAUCCCAGUUAUUAGAAAGAAGGAAAUGGAAGCACAUAGACCCACAAGACAAAAACAGUCUGCCGGUGAUGGGGUGUCUCCAGAAAGCCACCUUCUUUAAGGGAACCGACUUCCUUCCACGUUACCCUUGAAAGAGGAUAGCUAGAAAAUCAGCACAGUAGCUCACUUCUGGGCAGAACUUCCUUUGCCUCUUCCCUUGGACAGUCCGGUUCCAUUGUCCAGCCCUGGAGAACAGAUGUGGGGUGGUGGAACUGAACUCUAUUCAAUAGCACAGGGUGGAUACAGCAGAAAUCGGUUCAGAUGCCCUAGUUCUUGGUUGCCUCUCACUCACCGUGACUGAAGUAAAAGUCAGUCCUGUCUCUAUGCAGUCUAUCAACCUCUUUUCACUAAGCCAGCAGCAAGCUCACUGCCCUGACUUCUACUCUCAGGAUUGGCAGCCUUCUCUCUCCGUACUCACCAGGACCAUACUAGUGCUCAGAGGGACACAGAAUGCUACAACCUUCCUUAAACAGAAACUGCAGAUGGUUUGUUUCCAUGCCACGAAGGCGCUGGCCGAUGCUUUGGCCGGCCCAGUGGAUCGUCGGAUCUGCAUUUCUCCAGUCUUGCUGGCCUGGGUGGCUGUGGAAGCGCCGGCUCUGAAAUGGAAUUUUGGCUGGAAGGGGUUGGGCCACACCGGCACAGACUGGAUGCGGGUGGUCACAGAGAGAUCCCCUUACACCUCAUCUCGCCUCCUCCCAAUUCUGGCAUUCCGCCAGCGCCGCCAGACCGGCCCUUCCCUGCGCCCACACGAGAGGAGCGGGAAGAGCGGCGCCCCAGGCCGGCCUCGCUAGCUAGUGGCCGCCCAAACUGGCCCCCAGCGCCCGGGUCCCGCCGGGACGCGCGCAUCCUGAACGGACUGCGAAGGCCCACAGAGCCAAAGCCCGGACCCCGCGCCCAAGCAGGGCGAGCACAGAGCGGGGCGGGGCGGGCCGCGCGGGCCGGGGGUGUCGGAUGUCACCCCCCGCGUACACCUCGGCCGGGAGGCGGGGAAGCGAACCACUGAGAUGAGGAGACCUCCUCGGUCCUAGAGCGGUGCAGGAAGUGUCCCAGGGGAGGGAGCCGGAGGGCUCCGGCCUUUCCUUUCCGCGGCGGCCCGGCCUGCGCGGCCCGCCAACCGGGACGCUGCUCAGCGGCGUCUCCCAAGCCCAGCUGAUGCUUUCUAGAUGAUCCCGAGAUCAUCUAGAGUCUGGCCCAUGCAGAGGAGCCACCUCGGCCGAGACACCAGAGAGACCGAGCUGGAAGGUGAGAACCUGCCGCCCUGCAAUCUCGGGCUUCGAGGUGAAGAGCCAGCAAACCUGGAAGAGUGUAAGCGACAGAAACCCCAUAGUUCUCCUGGCCUAAAACACCCUCC